GCAGUCGAACGAUGAAAGCAGGAGCUUGCUUUUGCUGGAUUAGUGGCGAACGGGUGAGUAACACGUGAGUAACCUGCCCUUGACUCUGGGACAAGCGUUGGAAACGACGUCUAAUACCGGAUACGAGCUAGGACCGCAUGGUCAUUAGCUGGAAAGAAUUUCGGUCAAGGAUGGACUCGCGGCCUAUCAGCUAGUUGGUGAGGUAACGGCUCACCAAGGCGACGACGGGUAGCCGGCCUGAGAGGGUGACCGGCCACACUGGGACUGAGACACGGCCCAGACUCCUACGGGAGGCAGCAGUGGGGAAUAUUGCACAAUGGGCGCAAGCCUGAUGCAGCAACGCCGCGUGAGGGACGACGGCCUUCGGGUUGUAAACCUCUUUUAGCAGGGAAGAAGCGCAAGUGACGGUACCUGCAGAAAAAGCACCGGCUAACUACGUGCCAGCAGCCGCGGUAAUACGUAGGGUGCAAGCGUUGUCCGGAAUUAUUGGGCGUAAAGAGCUCGUAGGCGGUUUGUCGCGUCUGCUGUGAAAAUCCGAGGCUCAACCUCGGACCUGCAGUGGGUACGGGCAAACUAGAGUGCGGUAGGGGAGAUUGGAAUUCCUGGUGUAGCGGUGGAAUGCGCAGAUAUCAGGAGGAACACCAAUGGCGAAGGCAGAUCUCUGGGCCGUAACUGACGCUGAGGAGCGAAAGCGUGGGGAGCGAACAGGAUUAGAUACCCUGGUAGUCCACGCCGUAAACGGUGGGAACUAGAUGUGGGGUCCGUUCCACGGAUUCCGUGUCGCAGCUAACGCAUUAAG
rnacentral:rRNA from 1 species